rnacentral:ncRNA from 1 species
GUGUAUGCGCUGAAAGAGGGACAUGGAAAACUUUUUUUUUUUUUUUUUGCAAAAUGGCCAAGUCUGCCAAACAGAAACUCAUAGCGACGUUACAUUUUGAUAGUUCAAUGCCGGCUCUUCCUAUCAUACUGAAUCAUAAUUAAGUAAGCUUUGGAUUGUUUACCAAGUAGUUGGGAACGUGGAUUGGGUUUACAUCGUCGUGAAGCAAGUUAGUUUUACCCUACUGAUGGCAUUGGUAUCGUAACAGUAAUUGAAGUUAGUACGAAAGGAACCCUUCAUUCAGAUAAUUGGUAUUUACGGUUGCGGCUGGUUAAAACCCCAACAAUGCCGCGAAGCUACCAUCUGUUGGAUAAUAGCUGAACGCCACCAAGUUAGAAUGUAUGCUGAAAACAAUACCACUGUGUUUUGAUUGUUUCAAAUGAAUACAAAUA